GUGCAGCAGGCGAGAAACCUCCACAAUGCGGGAAACCGUGACGGGGGAAUCCGAGUGCCCGUUGGCUAAUGCUGGCGGGCUUUUCUCAAGCGUAAAAGGACUUGAGGAAUAAGGACUGGGUAAGACCGGUGCCAGCCGCCGCGGUAACACCGGCGGUCAACUGGUGAUCAGCAUUACUGGGCCUAAAGCGUCCGUAGCCGGAUGGUUGGAUUCUGAGUGAAAUUUCCCCAGCUC
rnacentral:rRNA from 1 species